AGCGAACGCUGGCGGCAGGCCUAACACAUGCAAGUCGAACGGACCCUUCGGGGUUAGUGGCGGACGGGUGAGUAACACGUGGGAACGUGCCUUUAGGUUCGGAAUAGCUCCUGGAAACGGGUGGUAAUGCCGAAUGUGCCCUUCGGGGGAAAGAUUUAUCGCCUUUAGAGCGGCCCGCGUCUGAUUAGCUAGUUGGUGGGGUAAUGGCCCACCAAGGUUACGAUCAGUAGCUGGUCUGAGAGGAUGACCAGCCACAUUGGGACUGAGACACGGCCCAAACUCCUACGGGAGGCAGCAGUGGGGAAUCUUGCGCAAUGGGCGAAAGCCUGACGCAGCCAUGCCGCGUGGAUGAUGAAGGUCUUAGGAUUGUAAAAUCCUUUCACCGGUGAAGAUAAUGACUGUAGCCGGAGAAGAAGCCCCAGCUAACUUCGUGCCAGCAGCCGCCGUAAGAC
rnacentral:rRNA from 1 species